AGGAAACUCUGAUGCAGCAACGCCGCGUGAGGGAAGAAGGUUUCGAUUGUAAACUUUCCUUGGUGACGAAAAGAAUGACGGUAGCCAAGGAGGAAGCUCCGCUAACUACGUGCGCAGCCGCGGUAAUACGUAGGAGCAAGGUUGUCCGGAUACUGGGUGUAAAGGUCGUAGGCGGCUCUGCAAGUCGGCGUGAAAACCAU
rnacentral:rRNA from 1 species